rnacentral:lncRNA from 1 species
GAAGCUAGAGGCUGGUGGUCUUCGUUGAAGCCCAGAAAAAGAAAGUAUUUCCUCCCGGUAAAUGCGUGGUCUUUAAGAGUUGAUCCAACUGGGUUUGUCAAUCACCUAGCCAGGAGACCACCUCUUAGCAAGGCUGAUAUGCCCGAAGACUGUUAAGCUGCUUGCAGACUUCCCACUGCAGAGCCUCUUUUGACCCGAUCUCAAAGGACACGAACUUCUUCCUCUUCAGCUACCCGUUUCCACCAGCCACAGAUUUACCUCGUGCCUGCCUAGUUUUCCCAAACUCCAAAAAACGAGGUCUUCGAGCUUUGA